UUAGAACUAGGACCGUGACCCUUUCUUUGGGAGUUGGUGAUUUGAGACCUUGAGAUUCAUCUGGUACCUUUGACUUUGGGGUUUCUUUUGAAGACUUGGCUUGACUAUUUUGAUUUCAUCUGAUACAUGGAUUAUUCUUUGCUUAUUUGGGUUGGCUUGAGGCUUAAUCCAAAGGAGGGAAUUCUUGCUUAACUUAUGCCAUAAAGCUUGCUACCUCUUGGUUAGAUCUUUUCUCCCUAGCUUUU
rnacentral:lncRNA from 1 species